rnacentral:lncRNA from 1 species
UAACCAAACCUUUUUUGAAACUGACCAGAGUUAUGAAAUUUAAACAUAAUGACUGCUUAUAAACUCUACAGUGCUUACAUGUGGAAGCAGUCCUUAAAAGUUUUUACCUAAAUUUUGAAUUAAGGGUGGACACUUAUGUGCCCUAGUGUAGAAGCAAUAUUUUUUUUUACUACCAGCAAAAUUUCAGUCAUUUUUACAAAUAUUAAUGUACUUUAAAUUGUAUACUGAUUGUUGUAUGUCCACAUAAAGGCUAAAUGUUACUGUAUGUUUAAUGUAAGAUGACUAUCCUGGAAAAUUCAAGUACGACUUUGGCUUACUUAAUUCCUCCUUAGUCAAAUCAAAGAACUUAGUGGUAGUGCUGUUAUAUUCCAACUAUCAGUGAAGGGAAGAACGGUUUUCAAUGUGACUAGAUUUUGCUGUUGUUAUAAUCACUAUUUAUGAAUCAAAAGGCAGAAUAAUUUAAGACCUAAUAGGCAAGUAGUUGCAGAUCUAAAAUUUAUAAGCUCAAAACUUGUAGCACUUUUUAUAUUGUAUGUUCUAAACUUCAUUUAAGGUAGCUUACAUAUUGAAUUUAUAUAACCAUAAAUGUAACCAUGAAGUUAAAAUGCCUUUUAGAGUCUUUCCCAUUGAAAUAAUUAUUUCACUAUACAAACUAAUGAUGUACCACAGUAGCGAUAAUUCUAUAUACAGUUCAUUUAUAGUUUAUGAUUGUGUCAUCAUGCUUUUGUGUUUUUGACUUUUUAAAAGAAUAGGUUAAAAAUCUGAACAAUCAUAAACAACACAAAGUGGCAGUCUUCAGCUACUUAACAGCAUUUAAACUAAAUGUAUUAAUUAAGGGAUUAUGUCCAUGGAGAAAAGUCUUUUUGAGUCAGUUUUACAGAAGCCAUUUUGAAAACACUAUAUAUCACCAUGUUAAUUUGAUGAUAGUAUCUAAAGUGACCUUUAUCCUGAUCUUGAAAAUAUCAAAUCCAAAAGAGAAAAUACUUUAAAGGAAAUUCAGUUGUAAUACAUGCAAUACAUUUUAGAAAUUUAUGUUCGAACAGAGUCACUUAAGAGUAGCUGCCAUACUUCUUCAGUUUAUACACACUAAAUUUAUAUUUCUUAACCACCAUUCUAUAAUAACGUUUUUUAAUCACCCAUAUUAUCCAUAUGACAGACUAUUAAGCUAUUAGUAUUAUGAUAGAGCAGUCCAGUCUGACAUCAUGUAAAAGUCAACUGCAAAUCUGAUUACUAAAUUCUUCCUUGAAAAUUUGCUGUGUUGUUAUAUUUUUUUAAAGUACAUUCUUGAAAACUAUGUUCUUGGUUUUUUAGAUAUCAUGUAAGAACAAUAUGUAGUGACAGUCAUUAUAUGAACAGUAGUUGAACUCAAAUUGUAUUUUUCUUCAUAUGAGUAUUAUGUGUUUGUAGCUUAAGGCUUAAUUUAAUUUGCAAAUAAAAUAUUCCAUUAACAU